CAACCAGCACCGCAAGUGGUCAGGAUGAUUAUUGGGCCUAAAGCAUCCGUAGCCGGCUCUGUCAGUUUUCGGUUAAAUCUGUACGCUUAACGUACAGGCUGCUGGGAAUACUGCAGAGCUAGGGAGUGGGAGAGGUAGACGGUACUCGGGAGGAAGUGGUAAAAUGCUUUGAUCUCUCGAUGACCACCUGUGGCGAAGGCGGUCUACCAGAACACGUCCGACGGUGAGGGAUGAAAGCUGGGGGAGCAAACCGGAUUAGAUACCCGGGUAGUCC
rnacentral:rRNA from 1 species